rnacentral:lncRNA from 1 species
AGAAAACGAAUCUUUCUGUAUCACUGUCUGACUUUUGAAAGAUGAGAAAAAUAAAUUAAUUUCCCUGUGUGCUUGGGACUCACUGUCUUUCCUCCUGAUGAAAUUCACAGGAUACAGAUUUCCUUCCAGUGACGUAAGGAGAAUCUUUCUGAUCUUUCUGUGUGCUCCAGCCAGACUACAUGACUUUAAUUUUUAUUUUGGGGGGUGGGGCUUCUGCAAACCUGCCAGAGGUUUUGCCCAGUAACUGCAACUGGUAAAUUGCCAUAAGCACGGGAAUGUCUCAAGAGAAAAGAUGAGAUAAACACUUUUCUACCCUCAGCGGUACCAUGGCUCUUCCUUUGGUCUAAACGUCUCUCCACCUUACACUGCCAUCAUCUGACAGAGGAUCUAGAGAGAAUAAAAAUACUGUUAAACAAAAAGUUGUUUAUGUGACAAGAGAAAGAAAACAGCCUCAGAGGAACAUUAACGCUUUCUGAUGCUGUCACUGCAAGACAGCAUAGGACAGCAUGCACAGCACAGUGCAGGGCAAUAAGAACCAGAUAAUGUUGGGCAAGAAGGAACCUCUUGACAGCAUAUGUACAUAUUAAUAUUUGAUGGAGGAGGGGAAGGAUUCAGAAAUAUUUCCUUCAGCUGGUGCUGUAUUUCUUACAAAACAAAACCCCCACAAACUCUGUAAGAAAGCAGCAUGACAGAAAACUUAAGCCAUCAAGUAGUUGUUAAGUCAUUUAACAUCUUUAAAAUAUUUUUCCCCUCCAGGUCAUAUAAUACAAAGAGACACCGCUCUCCAACCCUACCAUGGAUUCUUUUACUGUAAAAUAAACUUGGAUUUGUGUCUAACAAUCAAUCUUGGAAACUAAAGUCCAUAUACACACGAGAGAGGACUGUACACCUCCCCAUCAAUAUGCCAUACAAUGGAAAGGAAAAGCCAUGCUGUGGGGAUGAUUUUCAAUACACGUUGAAGGCUUCCAGCACUUUUUACAACCAGUUAUCGUACCAUACAUAUCCAUCAUACCCUUAUGCAAGGUAUCACUCAGCCUCGCUGUGUCCAUCAAAGGGAUCUUGGUUGCAAAAUUCAGAACUUAUUAAUUCCUGCACAGCACAAGAAGACAUGGAUAUCUCUUUUCAGUGGAGAUAUAAUUAAAAGACACACAUAAUUACUGUUAGAAAAUAUUUCAAGGAAACAUUAGUGUUUCACUAGGUGAUGUUUGUUUAUAGGUAAUAUUCGGAGCAGUCUUCUAGGCUCCCCUAAGAUUAAAUCAAAACAGUUCACCAGUAAAAAGAUGCCUCCAUUUUUCAGCUAAGCAUCUGAUAUCUUUGCAAUUUCACACAACACUGAAAACUUUUUUGUUAAUGCUUUAAACCUAAUUAUAGGUUUGAAUAUAGUUUCUAUGCAUUGAGGUCAGUACAAACCUGAUAAAAUCCUCACUAAAGGGAAGAACAUCUGAUUAAGUCAUAUUGAACUUGCUUAUUAGAUGAACGGAAGGCAUUGCAAAACGUUCACUCAGAAAGAAACAUUUUCUUUCUGUAGAUUUUCUUGUGGAAAGUUUUUUGCUCUUACAUCUUUAUCAAAAAACCUCUCUGGAUAUGCUAGAACAGCUCUUUGAGUGGAAACACAUUUUCUAGAAUGAGUUACUUUUUUGUUUAUUCCAACAGAAAAAGGAAUAUCUUCUUCUAGAAUAUAAGGAUUAACAUGAGCAGCGAUAGCUGACAAAAUUCAUGCCUACUCUAACACCGGUAUUAUUCCAAAUGGAGAAGUACUACAUUUCUUUCGUAAUGCAUUUCUUUUGUAACACUUGGAGGAGACAGUUGAUAAGGGAAAACUUGGCAACCUACAGUUGUGUGGUACCUUUUGCAGGAAUACAUCCACUAGCCCCAGCAUCACGGCUAUACUGUUUGCACAAUAACUUUCUGCCUAUCCCAAUUCCUAUUUCAAUUACAACUGUAUGAGAGAGAUUCUUAGUGUUUUCUCUACUGUUAAACAGCUGUUGCAUUUUAGUGUUGGUGAAAGAGUUUUCCGUUUUUUUAAUGAAAGUGCUUUGGGAUGUCUCUAGCUGAAAGAUGGCAUAGAAAUGCAAAUUAUACUUAGCCAUAUAACUCGGAAUUACCUUUGCUUUUUAUUCUUGACCUGUAUCUGUUUAUAAAACAAUCCUGAAAAACAGUUACAUUAUCCCUUACAUUAUGGGGAAAACAAGAGAUAGGACUGCCAGCUCUUACACGAAUGUUGUAAUCCAAUGAAUGUUCAUGCUGAAAAGUAUCUCCUUUAGUGAAUUUUUUGACAAAACAAUUUCAUUUCAUUUAUAAACUUAGAAAAUAAACCCCAACAUAUUCAUAUUGAAAGCA